CCGGGAGUCGCCAAUGGAGAACUUGUCAUAGUAGGCAUAUGCUGCCUCCUGACCAUCCCUCAUGUCUAUUCGCAGCUCGUAGCGCCCUUGGGAUGUGAUCUUGUGGAUGUUGUCCAAGCCUGUCGAGACAGUGAAACACCCAGUGAGGCCUGGGGCCGGAUCCGCUCCGUGAACAAACAAGGAAAGCUCUAGGCAAAUAAAACAGUAGUGGGAAAUGAGAGCAAGGAGAGGAAUCAAAGAGCAGCAGCACUUGUGGUUUCCAAAGCCAACCCGGUAAUCUGCCCAUUUCCGGAAGAAAUCGGUCAGCCCGUUCUGCCGCCGCUGGAAGACCUGAUGUGGAGGAAGACCAGGAGGAAAAUCACAGUGAUGGAAAUGAGAAACAGCUUUGCCAGGCUUUGGACACACAAGCAGGUGAAGAGACCUUUGAAGAGACCAAUGUAAUUGAGAUGGAGAAGUGUAUCCAGCGCUGAUUCAAAGAAAAUUCUCCUAAUUUAAGAAUUAAACUGGCAGCACAGAUGGGAGGAAUUUUGGUGGACAUCAUCUGGAGACUUCUCAGUACUGUUGAUGCCCAGGAAAAAUAUGAUUGGAUUGAGCCCUGAACAAGAUGCAUUCUGUCUGGGAGGAACCCAGGACAGCAGGGCGCUCCGUCGCGUGACCUCGCUGGCUGUCAGAUUUGUUGGAGGAUCCAAAACUGCAAGAGUGGACAGGGACACAGGGAAGAGCAGUUUCUCACGCAACCACCUCAACCCUGCUUCCCGACACAGUACACCGGGAUUCAACCUUGCAGCACUGAGCCACAGCCCAAAGACCAUCUUCACCCUCAGUUUCAAGACCUCAUCACCCAUCCCCAGUCUUGAACAAAGUUCUGCAAACCCUCUAGAGGUCCUUUUCUACCUGUGUGCCACCUUAAGGGUCACAGCUGUGAAAUUCAUGUGCUAUGGGACCUGUCAAGCAAAAUGGGUUGUCGUGUUCUUCUGGACUAUGGCCUUGGGCAAAAAAAAGACCUGGUC